UACGUAGGGGGCAAGCGUUGUCCGGCAUUAUUGGGCGUAAAGAGCGCGUAGGCGGUCCGAUAAGUCGGCUGUGAAAGUCAGGGGCUCAACCCUUGAAAGCCGGCCGAUACUGUCGGACUAGAGUCCGGAAGAGGCAAGUGGAAUUCCCGGUGUAGCGGUGAAAUGCGCAGAUAUCAGGAGGAACACCGGUGGCGAAGGCGGGUCUCUGGGCCGUAACUGACGCUGAGGAGCGAAAGCGUGGGGAGCGAACAGG
rnacentral:rRNA from 1 species